rnacentral:rRNA from 1 species
GACGAACGCUGGCGGCGUGCCUAAUACAUGCAAGUAGAACGCUGAAGGAGGAGCUUGCUUCUCUGGAUGAGUUGCGAACGGGUGAGUAACGCGUAGGUAACCUGCCUGGUAGCGGGGGAUAACUAUUGGAAACGAUAGCUAAUACCGCAUAAUAGUAGAUGUUGCAUGACAUUUGCCUAAAAGGUGCAAUUGCAUCACUACCAGAUGGACCUGCGUUGUAUUAGCUAGUUGGUGGGGUAACGGCUCACCAAGGCGACGAUACAUAGCCGACCUGAGAGGGUGAUCGGCCACACUGGGACUGAGACACGGCCCAGACUCCUACGGGAGGCAGCAGUAGGGAAUCUUCGGCAAUGGACGGAAGUCUGACCGAGCAACACCGCGUGAGUGAAGAAGGUUUUCGGAUCGUAAAGCUCUGUUGUAAGAGAAGAACGAGUGUGAGAGUGGAAAGUUCACACUGUGACGGUAUCUUACCAGAAAGGGACGGCUAACUACGUG